rnacentral:lncRNA from 1 species
UUGUUUGUAGUUUUUUUUAUUUUUAUUUUGUUUUAUUUGAAGUAUGGAAUAUGUUGAAUAAAAAGGUAAUUUAUUGAAUACUUUGUUUAUUAAAUAAUGAAAUCUAAUACAAGUCAUUACGAAUUACUACUACUAAAAUAAAAUACAUGAAUUACAACAACUUUAAAAGAAAACAUGAAAAAUACAAAUACAUAAAAGGUAGGCUAAUAAAUUUAAUGGUUUCUAUCAUUUAACCAAUCCGUGUUGCUAGGCCCAUCAUCCCGGAAAAGUCUUCUUCUCAUAACAUCCCUUCGUUCUAGCUUCCAAAAUUGUUUUGUUUCAGGGGACAUAUGACUUGUAUCCAUGGCCAUGGUUUC